AUGCAUCUACUUGAUAGACGUGAACAGUUAAUGUCUGCCUCUAAGGUUUCUAGUACAGAUGCGAGAUGAAAGAUUCUUGUGCUUUCCGUCUGUCUGAUUGUGGCAGCCAAGAAUGAAUGGGGUGGGGUGGGAACAAAACAA
rnacentral:snoRNA from 1 species